UGAGCAUUCGUCUGAUCUGCAGCAGGCAGCAGCUCACGUCUCAACUGUGACAUGGCGUCUGAAAAGGAAGUUUGUUAACAAAUUAAAGUUAAUGUUGUUUUUAUGACGUUUGGGCAGUAGGAGGGCUGUAAUUGAAGCCGAAUAUAUAUUUCAUUGACUUGCAUUGAUGGUAAUGCAUGCUAGGAAACCUCAAAGGAUCAGCGAUGGGUAUUUCGAGAAACAUCAGGCCCAUCCCUAUCAGGUUGUGAAUGCAGAUUCAACUCAUCUCAAAAAUUCAAAGUAUACAAAAGGAAACUAUGCUGAUCGCUGCAAAGACGAAAGAAUGCGGGACUCUCCUAACGGAAAUUCCUAUCGUUCGGAAAGUCCAGAUUCAGAGAGUCCAAGAGACAGAACGUAUCAGAGCAAAGGCUCUUUCAUCCAGAAAGUUCGGGAAAAGGAGAGAGAAAAUAGAGACUACAAAUCGAGAGACAAAUAUUCUGAUUGUGUUAGGUCUCCAAAGGACAAACGUGCGAGAGAAAGCAGAGAUUCCGAGCACAGAACUAAUCAUGACAGGAAUAGUUCAGAGGAUAAGAGGGAGGAGCGGGAUAGGGUGUUACGGGUAGGAGACUGGUCAGAGCACCUCAGUUCGUCAGGCAAGAAGUACUAUUAUAACUGCAAGACGGAGGUGUCACAAUGGGAGAAGCCCAGAGAAUGGGUGGAACGCAGCCGGCCGGUCCCGGCUCACCCCCUGACUCCUACAUACAACAGUGGCUCCAGUAGGACAGAAGAUAAACAUUCCAACUCCCGCAGUAACCUAAAAAGCAGCAGUGCUAGGGGGCUGGACAAACCUUGUAGAGAUUCCAGCUAUUGGCCGAAUGAAGCUGUGGAUUGUUUGGAAAACCAGACAACACAGGACAUGGAAAUAUGUUCAGGUGACAGCACGCCAACAUCAGAAGCAUCAUAUGCACAUACAGUAGCAACUCCGUUACCUGUGGACCCUCCCACUGCCAAUGCACCCGGACCUCCUGCCGAGAUAGUCCCACUGAAGGUUGAUGUCAACUCAACGUCAGCUGUGGACCCGGGCCCGCCCACACCCACACAUUCAGAAAGUCAAGACUGUGUUGAUGCCAGGAAAUUGGGCAGUCCCCCCAGCAGCCUGAGCUGUCUACAGAGCCUGGCAGUAAGUUCGUCAUCUCUGGCGGCGCUUACGCCAUCGCUAGCCAACCAUUACCGGGACGAUCUCGUUAACCAUGUCAGGGGCUGGCCGGCAGACGUCUGUGAGAAACAGGCGCAAAAAACUAAGUGAAGAAGUCCACAAUCUAGGCAGUUUGCAGUGUACUAGAGUGUCUGCUGAUCUCAAGUCUGCACGAUCUAUCGUCAGGCUCACUGAAAUCCAGGCGACGUUACAAGAACAAAGGGAAAGUUCUUUGCACCGUCUCCAACAAGUGGUAGGAAGUUGGCAACUUGAUGUGAUCGGAGAUAGCCAGUUUUAGUGUAGGUUUACCUUUAAGUUUUGUAAAUAAAUGGGAAUUUAACUCAAAUAUACAUGUACAGUGUAAACUGGCAUUAUUUCUUAUUAAUGUGAAACUUAUUCAAUUAUCUAUCUAUAUUAACAUUUUAUGUCAUGUAAAAAUAUAGUAAAUUACAUUACAUUUUAAACAGAA
rnacentral:misc_RNA from 1 species